rnacentral:rRNA from 1 species
GAGUUUGAUCCUGGCUCAGAUUGAACGCUGGCGGCAUGCUUUACACAUGCAAGUCGAACGGCAGCACAAAAGAGCUUGCUCUUUGGGUGGCGAGUGGCGAACGGGUGAGUAAUACAUUGGAACGUACCGGGUAAUGGGGGAUAACCAAUCGAAAGAUUGGCUAAUACCGCAUACGCUCUGAGGAGGAAAGCGGGGGACCUUUGGGCCUCGCGUUAUUCGAGCGGCCAAUGACUGAUUAGCUAGUUGGUGGGGUAAGGGCCUACCAAGGCGACGAUCAGUAGCGGGUCUGAGAGGACGAUCCGCCACACUGGGACUGAGACACGGCCCAGACUCCUACGGGAGGCAGCAGUGGGGAAUUUUGGACAAUGGGGGCAACCCUGAUCCAGCCAUGCCGCGUGUAUGAAGAAGGCCUUCGGGUUGUAAAGUACUUUUGUUCGGGAAGAAAAGGAACCGGUUAAUACCCG